UACAGAGGUCUCAAGCGUUGUUCGGAUUCAUUGGGCGUAAAGAGCUUGUAGGCGGCCACAUAAGUUGGACGUGAAAACUCCGGGCUUAACUUGGAGAGGCCGUUCAAUACUGUAAGGCUGGAGGGUGUCAGAGGGAAGUAGAAUUCCUGGUGUAGCAGUGAAAUGCGUAGAUAUCAGGAGGAAUACCCGUGGCGAAGGCGGCUUCCUGGGGCACCACUGACGCUGAGAAGCGAAAGCUAGGGGAGCAAACGGG
rnacentral:rRNA from 1 species